rnacentral:rRNA from 1 species
UACGUAGGGUGCAAGCGUUGUCCGGAAUUAUUGGACGUAAAGAGCUUGUAGGCGGUUUGUCGCGUCUGCUGUGAAAUUUCGGGGCUCAACCCCGAACUUGCAGUGGGUACGGGCAGACUAGAGUGUGGUAGGGGAGACUGGAAUUCCUGGUGUAGCGGUGAAAUGCGCAGAUAUCAGGAGGAACACCGAUGGCGAAGGCAGGUCUCUGGGCCAUAACUGACGCUGAGAAGCGAAAGCAUGGGGAGCGAACAGG